GAGUGGAACGGGUGAGGUGCAAAGAGGACAGCCACGCCCAGGGACAGACGAAAAAAGAAAAGACACACAGAGGGAGAGAGAGACAACACAGAAAACACAAGGGGACGGGGAAACAGGAAAAACACAAGGAAAAAGGGGAAAAAACCUGGAGCCUUGAUGGGCCACUGUGACAAAGGGGCGUGUGAGAGCCUUCUCUGGAGUGAUUAUCUUCUCUGGUUGUGUAUGUAGAAGGCAUUUCAGGAGGAUGACAAAUGCUCUUUGAUCCUCCAGCUCAAAGGAUUCCUGCAUCUCUGGGUAGUGCUGGAUUUAAAACAAAGCUCGAUGCCAGUGCCAAGCUGGUAUUCCUUUGGGGUCUACAGCAACAAAACAUGCAGGUCCAAGAGAACAACACCAGUGUCCAUCGGAGCAUCAAAAGCCGUCAGAGAGUGCAGAAACAAAGGACACAGUUUUAGACGGUUAAAGAUACCAUUGAUGAGGAUGGAAGCUUAAACAGAUCAAGAAAAAAUAGUUAUGUUACUCCAGUAUGUAACUUCUUUCUCAGCUGGCUGAGUAUGUGGAAAAAAAACUUAAUCAUCAAAACAAAUUAAAUAAACUACCU